GGGUCAGUAGCUCAGUGGUAGAGCGGCGGCCUUUUAAGCCGACUGUCGUGAGUUCAAUCCUCACCUGACCCA
rfam:Peregrinibacteria bacterium GW2011_GWF2_39_17 TT36_C0001, whole genome shotgun sequence.